rnacentral:rRNA from 1 species
UACGGAGGGUGCAAACGUUGCUCGGAAUCAUUGGGCGUAAAGCGCACGUAGGCGGUUCGUUAAGUCGGAUGUGAAAGCCCUCGGCUCAACCGAGGAAGUGCAUACGAAACUGGCGAACUUGAAUAUGGAAGAGGGUCGCGGAAUUCCCGGUGUAGAGGUGAAAUUCGUAGAUAUCGGGAGGAACACCAGUGGCGAAGGCGGCGACCUGGGCCAAUAUUGACGCUGAGGUGCGAAAGCGUGGGGAGCAAACAGG